CAUUACUACAUUUGGCUGCAUUCUGUCCGAACCCAAGGAAAUGCAGCAUGAUGUAGUGGUGAA
rnacentral:pre_miRNA from 1 species